CAAAAGACCCGUCCUCCACAAAUAAAAAUGCAUACCGCACAGAACCAGGAGCGGCAGGCUGCCAUAGCUAUGGGGCACAGUGGGAGUACUGCUACAAGAGCACAAGGACGUAGCUGAGAAGCCUGCUGCUCCGCUUGGUACCGGAGAUCAAGCCCUCUCUCUAAAGAACUCUGGCAUAUAGGAUAGAGUAUUGUUGAUCAGAAGAAAUGCCUGCUCUAUUUUGCAGCUCAGUUCCUGGUUUCCUUAGUAACUGUUGGUAAAAGUAAAUGCACCUGAGUGUAGUUUUAACAAUGUGAAAUUUCUACAUACGUUGCCCAAUCCAGUUCCACCCACUCUCAGCAUCUCCCUCAUCUUCCACGAUAGACCUGCCAUUACAUGCUAUACGGUACGAUCACUAGCAGAGUGGGUGCAAUCAGAGACUGAGAAGCAUGUUAACAGAAGUCCUGGCAAAGAACAAAAAUAACCCCCUGCCAGUCACCAUAGCAAAUGUUGCUCCCGAGAGACAGGAAAAAAUUAUAUACUGAGAUCACGAAAGAGAAUGGAGAGUGAAGGGAAAGCUCCCCUUGUUCUGGAGAAAUACAGACUCAUUGUGAUAACUGCAGAGAGACUGGGUGGGAAAGGUCUUCAAAAUCAUUCUCAUGGGAUGGGGAAAGCAUCCUGCUUCACUCUAACACAGGAGGAAAAAAAUACACUAUUUGCUUAAUCCUAAAGGAGGAAUUCGGCACUUUGGUUUUUAAAAAGUUCUGUUCCGAGACCUGUCCAGGUACCUUUUUUGUUGCACUGAGA
rnacentral:lncRNA from 1 species